UACGAAGGACCCGAGCGUUAUCCGGAUUUAUUGGGUUUAAAGGGUGCGUAGGCGGACCUGUAAGUCAGUGGUGAAAGCCCAUCGCUCAACGAUGGAAUUGCCAUUGAUACUGCAGAUCUUGAGUACAUUUGAGGCGGGCGGAAUGUGUCAUGUAGCGGUGAAAUGCUUAGAUAUGACACAGAACACCGAUUGCGAAGGCAGCUCGCUAAACUGUAACUGACGCUGAGGCACGAAAGCGUGGGGAUCAAACAGG
rnacentral:rRNA from 1 species